AUUGAACGCUGGCGGAAUGCUUUACACAUGCAAGUCGAACGGCAGCACGGGGCAACCUGGUGGCGAGUGGCGAACGGGUGAGUAAUACAUCGGAACGUGCCCAAUCGUGGGGGAUAACGUAGCGAAAGUUACGCUAAUACCGCAUACGAUCUACGGAUGAAAGCGGGGGAUCGCAAGACCUCGCGCGAAUGGAGCGGCCGAUGUCAGAUUAGGUAGUUGGUGGGGUAAAGGCUCACCAAGCCAACGAUCUGUAGCUGGUCUGAGAGGACGACCAGCCACACUGGAACUGAGACACGGUCCAGACUCCUACGGGAGGCAGCAGUGGGGAAUUUUGGACAAUGGGGGCAACCCUGAUCCAGCCAUGCCGCGUGAGUGAAGAAGGCCUUCGGGUUGUAAAGCUCUUUCGGCCGGGAAGAAAUCGCAUGGGUUAAUACCCUGUGUGGAUGACGGUACCGGAAUAAGAAGCACCGGCUAACUACGUG
rnacentral:rRNA from 1 species